ACCUUAGAUGUUCUGGGCCGCACGCGUGCUACACUGAGUAAUUCAAUGGGUAAGGGAACGCUAGAGCAUUACCUAAUCUUGAAAUUUGCUCGUGAUGGGGAUCGACGGUUGCAAUUUUCCGUCGUGAACGAGGAAUACCUUGUAGGCGCAUGUCAUCAUCAUGCGCCGAAUACGUCCCUGCCCUUUGUACACACCGCCCGUCGCUCCUACCGAUUGAGUGAUCCGGUGAGGCUCUGGGACCUGGACGGAAAGAGCGUUUCGCUUGUUCUGUUUGGGAAACUUGGUCGAACCUUAUCAUUUAGAGGAAGGAGAAGUCGUAACA
rnacentral:rRNA from 1 species